UCUGGUUCUUGGAUGUUUAUAGCUCUGGGGUUAGUAUUUAAAAAGGUUUGUACAUUGUAGAUAUUUUCUAUAUAUGUCCGGGCUGUGUAGUUGUAAGUCUUUUUGUCUUGGUUUAAACUAUCUCGGUAUGUGGUAAUUUGUAGGGGUAUAAACAUGGGAUCUUUUGAUGUAUUUGGUAUAUAUGGUUUAUCAAAUAGCUUGUUUAGGUUCAUAUUUGUGUUUUUCCUAACUCCUUUG
rnacentral:lncRNA from 1 species